rnacentral:sRNA from 1 species
GGCUAGCCCCGAUGGGAGUGGAAAUCCUUUUUGCUUUUUGUUGCCUUCGAGAACCUCAGGCAACAAAAAGCAAAAAGAUUGUAGCGGACAGCGGGACUGUGA